rnacentral:lncRNA from 1 species
CUGAUUCUUUAUCUGACAUGGUUGUCUUAUUUCAUGUAAUGAAACUGGUAAUAAUCUCUAUUAUAGUUGAACUGUUAGUUUGUGGAUGUAGGAUGAUCUGCAGCUUGGUUUAAAAGUUUCAAGUUUUGUUCAGGAAACUGCUGAUAAGGGAUGUCGAGUGGGAGCUACACACACUGGUGCCACAGAUGCACGCAACCAAUUCGGCCUCGAGGGGCUAGCUGUCUUUGCCCAAAUUGUGGUGGAGGUUUCGUUGAAGAGCUUGAUGACAUGCUAGGUGCUAGAUCUACUAUUGAGGAUGAUCCUCAUUUUGGAUUAAUGGAUCCUUUCCCGGACCCAAGAUUUGGUAUAAUGGACGCCCUUGCUCAAUUCAUGAGGCAGAGAAUGGCAGGAAGAAACCCGAACUUUGACAUUAGGACAAGAUCUGGCAUUGUUCCUGGACAAGGGAGGGGUUUCGGUUCUGGUCCAUGGUUGAUUUUUCACGGCCAAACUCCUGUUAGUAUGACCGAAAACGAUGCAUUUGAGUACUUUUUCAAUGGAAGCCCGGGAAUGGGGCAGCGGCGACCUAAUUUGGAUGAUUUGAUGGGGCCCGGUCUGCAACAGUUAAUCGAGCAGCUCAGUAUGAAUGAUAGGCAGGGCCCACCCCCGGCACCUCGUUCCGCAAUAGAUGCUUUGCCUACUGUCAAGAUCAUACAGAGGCACCUCAACACGGAUUCUCAGUGCCCAGUUUGUCAAGAUAACUUUGAAUUGGGUUCUGAAGCAAGGCAGAUGCCAUGUAAGCAUAUUUACCAUGCAGAUUGUAUUGUACCUUGGUUGGUUCGGCACAACUCGUGCCCUGUUUGCCGCCUUGAGCUUCCUUCGCGACCUUCUGGAAGUGCCCCGACCAAUUUGAGUUCAAGAACUGGAAAUGUUAGCAGUGGCAGCAACAGUAGCGGCAGGGACAACUCUGCUCAGAGCCAGGGGAGGAGGAACCCCUUUUCAUUUUUGUGGCCUUUUCGCUCGUCCAACCAAAACACAGGCAAUUAUGCUGAGAGAGGAGGAAGCAGCUCGACAGCACCCUACGAGGAGAACAAUGAAGCGAAUUACCCCGCUUGGCGUUUUUAGUUACUAAGUUUUGUUUCCAGCAUCUUUGGAUUUUGCCUAUUUUCGACUAUAAAUUAUCCUUAGAUGGUGUUGGAAGUGUUUUUACAAUUUCUUGUACUAUGGGAUGGAAGCUGUUCUUGAAAGGUGUAUAGGUGGAAAACAUCUUGAAAUGCUUAAAGGACUUAUGUAAAUGAUGUUCUAGAAAUGUCAAUGAUACAUUACUGUUGAUAAUAA